AGCGGCGGAUGGGUGAGUAACACGUGGGGAACCUGCCCCUAAGUCUGGGAUACCAUUUGGAAACAGGUGCUAAUACCGGAUAAUAAAGCAGAUCGCAUGAUCAGCUUUUGAAAGGCGGCGUAAGCUGUCGCUAAGGGAUGGCCCCGCGGUGCAUUAGCUAGUUGGUAAGGUAACGGCUUACCAAGGCGACGAUGCAUAGCCGAGUUGAGAGACUGAUCGGCCACAUUGGGACUGAGACACGGCCCAAACUCCUACGGGAGGCAGCAGUAGGGAAUCUUCCACAAUGGACGCAAGUCUGAUGGAGCGACGCCGCGUGAGUGAAGAAGGUUUUCGGAUCGUAAAGCUCUGUUGUUGGUGAAGAAGGAUAGAGGUAGUAACUGGCCUUUAUUUGACGGUAAUCAACCAGAAAGUCACGGCUAACUACGUGCCAGCAGCCGCGGUAAUACGUAGGUGGCAAGCGUUGUCCGGAUUUAUUGGGCGUAAAGCGAGCGCAGGCGGAAAAAUAAGUCUAAUGUGAAAGCCCUCGGCUUGACCGAGGAACUGCAUCGGAAACUGUUUUUUCUUGAGUGCAGAAGAGGAGAGUGGAAACUCCAUGUGUAGCGGUGGAAUGCGUAGAUAUAUGGGAAGAACACCAGUGGGCGAAGGCGGCUCUCUGGUCUGCAACUGACGCUGGAGGCUCGAAAGCAUGGGUAGCGA
rnacentral:rRNA from 1 species